UACAGAGGGGGCAAGCGUUAUUCGGAAUUAUUGGGCGUAAAGGGCGCGUAGGCGGCUUGGCAAGUGGAAGGUGAAAUCCCUCGGCUCAACUGAGGAACUGCCUUCCAGACUGCUUUGCUUGAGUCCGGGAGAGGUGAGUGGAAUUCCCAGUGUAGCGGUGAAAUGCGUAGAUAUUGGGAGGAACACCAGUGGCGAAGGCGGCUCACUGGACCGGAACUGACGCUGAGGUGCGAAAGCGUGGGGAGCAAACAGG
rnacentral:rRNA from 1 species